rnacentral:rRNA from 1 species
AACGAACGCUGGCGGCAUGCCUAACACAUGCAAGUCGAACGAGACCUUCGGGUCUAGUGGCGCACGGGUGCGUAACGCGUGGGAAUCUGCCCUUGGGUUCGGAAUAACAGUUAGAAAUGACUGCUAAUACCGGAUAAUGUCUUCGGACCAAAGAUUUAUCGCCCAGGGAUGAGCCCGCGUAGGAUUAGCUAGUUGGUGAGGUAAAGGCUCACCAAGGCGACGAUCCUUAGCUGGUCUGAGAGGAUGAUCAGCCACACUGGAACUGAGACAAGGUCCAGACUCCUACGGAGGCAGCAGUGGGGAAUAUUGGACAAUGGGCGAAAGCCUGAUCCAGCCAUGCCGCGUGUGUGAAGAAGGCCUCGGUUGU